GCACCAAGAGGCUUUUUUCGAUUCAGAGGGCAGUGUUGGGGCCUGCUUUCCAACGCCAGAAUUGGCUUCAUCGAGUCGCUCAUGGGGAAGAAGGUGAUGUGUCUGAGCAUGACACCGUCCAGAGGUCCAUUUACUUUGUUUUUAGCUCUUGUACGUAACUGAAAUUUCGCUCUAUUUGCUGUGGUUUGCUUGAGACUGCGGCUUUUGGGACUAAUUGGGGAAAGAUGCUAAGUUAUUGUUGAUAGUGAUUAUAGCUAUGGGGC
rnacentral:lncRNA from 1 species